rnacentral:rRNA from 1 species
GAUGAACGCUGGCGGCGUGCCUAAUACAUGCAAGUCGAGCGAACAGACGAGGAGCUUGCUCCUCUGACGUUAGCGGCGGACGGGUGAGUAACACGUGGAUAACCUACCUAUAAGACUGGGAUAACUUCGGGAAACCGGAGCUAAUACCGGAUAAUAUAUUGAACCGCAUGGUUCAAUAGUGAAAGACGGUUUUGCUGUCACUUAUAGAUGGAUCCGCGCCGCAUUAGCUAGUUGGUAAGGUAACGGCUUACCAAGGCAACGAUGCGUAGCCGACCUGAGAGGGUGAUCGGCCACACUGGAACUGAGACACGGUCCAGACUCCUACGGGAGGCAGCAGUAGGGAAUCUUCCGCAAUGGGCGAAAGCCUGACGGAGCAACGCCGCGUGAGUGAUGAAGGUCUUCGGAUCGUAAAACUCUGUUAUUAGGGAAGAACAAAUGUGUAAGUAACUAUGCACGUCUUGACGGUACCUAAUCAGAAAGCCACGGCUAACUACGUGCCAGCAGCCGCGGUAAUACGUAGGUGGCAAGCGUUAUCCGGAAUUAUUGGGCGUAAAGCGCGCGUAGGCGGUUUUUUAAGUCUGAUGUGAAAGCCCACGGCUCAACCGUGGAGGGUCAUUGGAAACUGGAAAACUUGAGUGCAGAAGAGGAAAGUGGAAUUCCAUGUGUAGCGGUGAAAUGCGCAGAGAUAUGGAGGAACACCAGUGGCGAAGGCGACUUUCUGGUCUGUAACUGACGCUGAUGUGCGAAAGCGUGGGGAUCAAACAGGAUUAGAUACCCUGGUAGUCCACGCCGUAAACGAUGAGUGCUAAGUGUUAGGGGGUUUCCGCCCCUUAGUGCUGCAGCUAACGCAUUAAGCACUCCGCCUGGGGAGUAC